CUACAAAUGACCAUUUUCACCCUGUGACUAGCUGCAGCGGUGUUCAAGGCAGCGCAGUGCCCAUCGCCCGGGCAGGCAGGGGCAGUGAGCUCUUGACUCAGCUCAGACAUACUGCUCACACUGAGCUUUGAAGAUUGACAGCUUCCACAGGUGAAAAACGCCUGUCAUAAAAACAUCUUAGAGGUCUAAACAAGCAAAACCAUUGAAAAUCAAAACUUAAUAAGAAAAGAUUUGUGUGAGGAAAGAAUUUGAAAAGAGAGUCUAAAAGGGAUUCUGUGUUUACUAAUGGUUCUUGUUUUAUUUCCCUGUUUAAAUAAUCUUCUUUCUGUUUUCCAAAAACAGUUUUUCAAGAAAGAUUUUAAGAUGGGACUGCUCUCAUGGAGCAAAUUAUCGUUAUUUCUAGGGUGAAGCUUUGCAGACAAACAGGAGGGAAAACACAGAGCUCGGCAGCACUGCACAGGAUAUGAGUGUAAAAGUGCAUGGCUUCCCUGCAGAACAUCCAGAGCUCUCCUGUGACUCACAGACACAGAAAAAGAGUAGACUGAACUCCUGGAGAAGGUUAUUUGAAUCACGCAAUCCCUGUUCCCAGUUCUGUGAUCAAUGGGGACUAACAGGAAUGACUCAGUAGGUUACUCCAGAGCUCAGAACUGUUGGAUUGCUGAUUGAUUUCACAGCUAUUCUGGGCUGUUUCCAUCGGUGUGACUCUCCAGUUGCAAAAUGAAUACAAAACUUUCAAAAAGUAAGAAGAUAGAUGGAAAAAUCCCUCUUCCUCCUCUCUCUCACAUACAUAUACAGAGUUUAUUUAAUUAAGCAUACAUUAUUUCAGAUGGAAAAUACCUCAGCUUUCUUUUUUUUUUCAUUGCAGAUGGAUUAAGUGAAGAGUUAACUGAAAAAUCAGGUAUACAAAAUAACUGCUAUAAAAGCAUUUUUGUUACUGUCACUAGUUCCCAAAUUCAAAAAAGCUUGGAGAAAAAAGAAAAAAAGAAAGAAAAAAAGAAAACAAACAAACCUAAACAAGCCUAUUAAAACAAGAAUUUCUGAAGAAAUCCACAUAUUUAGGUGGAAAGAAGCAUAAACAACAAAAGCAUAUUUCUAACACUUCAACUAUUUUUCUGCAUUAAAUUUGCUCACUGCUACAGGCAAGAUGGGGAGCCUCUACACCUGAAAAGAAAGGUGGUCACAAACUUUGACUCUACAAACGAGCACUCCAGAGCCACACAGCUCUGCAGCCACCCAGCCCAUUUGUAGGAACAGGGCUCAGCUUCAUAAAAGACACCUCACGGUCUUGGUAGCUCUGCUAGGGCAGCUUUAACUCUGUGGAGCACUUCUUGAGGCUGAUCCCUGAGCUGCCUCCAUCACCCACUGACCAACAGUAACACCCUGAUGUUUAGCAGCUCUCAAAAAUUGUAAGUUACUUAGCAUGUAUGUAGUAAGUCCUUCUAGGCACUGGGGACAUGUUGCCCUCAUCACAGCC
rnacentral:lncRNA from 1 species